GGAGCCGUGGCUCAGUGGAAAGAGCACGGGCUGGGGAGUCAGAGAUCAUGGGUUCAAAUCCCGGCUCUG
rnacentral:tRNA from 1 species